GACGAACCGAGCAAACGUUAUUCGGAAUCACUGGGCUUAAAGGGCGCGUAGGCGGGUCAGCAAGUCAGGGGUGAAAGCCCCCAGCUCAACUGGGGAAGUGCCUUUGAUACUGUUGAUCUCGAGGGAGGUAGGGGCGUGCGGAACUUCCGGUGGAGCGGUGAAAUGCGUAGAUAUCGGAAGGAACACCGGUGGCGAAAGCGGCGCGCUGGACCUCUUCUGACGCUGAGGCGCGAAAGCCAGGGGAGCAAACGGGAUUAGAUACCCCCGUAGUCC
rnacentral:rRNA from 1 species